UGACCGCGUAGCUCAGUUGGAAGAGCAUUGGGCUAGUAUUCCAAAGGUCGUAGGUUUGAAUCCCGCCGUGGCCAGGCAUAUUUUUCAAGCCUGCACGGUGUGGAUACACACUCAGAGUAACAUCACACAAACAUCUUAUUCACCUGAGUACAUUACACCAACACAGCAGAACUCUUCUAACAUGUUAGCAACACUGACUGUAGAUUUGUGUUGAUCAAACCUGUAUCGGGGUGACAUUGGCUUAAUGAUAUGAAUAUAGUAAAUGCACUUUCCGGCAGUUUUGAGGUCAGUCGCGACAAUGCAACUUCGUGCCCAGGACUUUCUGUACGAGCAGCUACGUCACCUUUCCAUAUAUUAAAGCCCCCUCCCCCUAAAACCCCAAAACAAUCCCCAACACUAAUUUUAACCCAUCACCACACUAAAGGGAACUACCCUAUGUAACCUAGCUGUAAAAUUACUGCAACCAUGCAAGCAUGCAUGUUCUCAUGUCAAUAUAAAAUUGCUUCUUCAAUUAUUUUGUUCUGGGAAAAAAGGAAAUAAAAAUAUUUUCAUUAACUUAAUCACUUACUGGGAAACAUUUGAACUUGCGCGGGCAAGUUGUGUUAAAAUCUUUGACAGUUGUGUUAAUUAAAAAGUCUUUGUUUAAAAUUUCUAAAGGUCAAUAAAGGAAUACCGAAUGGUUUUCCGUGCAGGAUUGCUUGAUCCUUGC